CGAAAGCCUGACGGAGCAACGCCGCGUGAGGGAGGAAGGUCUAUUGACUGUAAACCGCUUUUGAUAGGGAAGAAGAUCUGACGGUACCUAUCGAAUCAGCAUCGGCUAACUCCGUGCCAGCAGCCGCGGUAAGACGGGGGAUGCAAGCGUUAUCCGGAAUAAUUGGGCGUAAAGCGUUCGUAGGUGGUGAUGUAAGUCUGCUGUUAAAGCGUGUAGCUUAACUACAUAUAGGCGGUGGAAACUACAUGACUAGAGUGCGUUCGGGGCAGAGGGAAUUCCUGGUGUAGCGGUGAAAUGCGUAGAUAUCAGGAAGAACACCGGUGGCGAAGGCGCUCUGCUAGGCCGUAACUGACACUGAGGGACGAAAGCUAGGGGAGCG
rnacentral:rRNA from 1 species